GACGAACGCUGGCGGCGUGCCUAAUACAUGCAAGUAGAACGCUGAAGGAGGAGCUUGCUUCUCUGGAUGAGUUGCGAACGGGUGAGUAACGCGUAGGUAACCUGCCUGGUAGCGGGGGAUAACUAUUGGAAACGAUAGCUAAUACCGCAUAACAGUAGAUAUCGCAUGAUAUCUACUUGAAAGGUGCAAUUGCAUCACUACCAGAUGGACCUGCGUUGUAUUAGCUAGUUGGUGAGGUAACGGCUCACCAAGGCGACGAUACAUAGCCGACCUGAGAGGGGGAUCGGCCACACUGGGACGGAGACACGGCCCAGAAUCCUACGGGAGGCAGCAGUAGGGAAUCUUCGGCAAUGGACGGAAGUCUGACCGAGCAACGCCGCGUGAGUGAAGAAGGUUGUCGGAUCGUAAAGCUCUGUUGUAAGAGAAGAACGAGUGUGAGAGUGGAAAGUUCACACUGUGACGGUAUCUUACCAGAAAGGGACGGCUAACUACGUG
rnacentral:rRNA from 1 species